CUGGAACGGGACGCCAUAGAGGGUGAGAGCCCCGUACGGUUGGAUGCCUAGCCUCUGUGAAACUCCUUCGACGAGUCGAGUAGUUUGGGAAUGCUGCUCUAAAUGGGAGGUAUACGUCUUCUAAAGCUAAAUACCGGCCAGAGACCGAUAGCGCACAAGUAGAGUGAUCGAAAGAUGAAAAGCACUUUGAAAAGAGGGUUAAAAAGUACGUGAAAUUGUUGAAAGGGAAGCGUUCAUGACCAGACUUGAGCAGGUUGAUCAUCCGUGGUUCUCCGCGGUGCACUCUGCCUGCUCAGGCCAGCAUCAGUUCGCUCCGGGGGAUAAAGGCUCUGGGAA
rnacentral:rRNA from 1 species